rnacentral:rRNA from 1 species
GACGAACGCUGGCGGCGUGCCUAAUACAUGCAAGUAGAACGAGUUGCGAACGGGUGAGUAACGCGUGGUAACCUGCCUCAUAGCGGGGGAUAACUAUUGGAAACGAUAGCUAAUACCGCAUACUGUGAGAUGGACCUGCGUUGUAUUAGCUAGUUGGUGAGGUAAAGGCUCACCAAGGCGACGAUCCAUAGCUGGUCUGAGAGGAGGACCAGCCACACUGGAACUGGGACACGGCCCAGACGCCUACGGGAGGCAGCAGUGGGGAAUAUUGCACAAUGGGCGCAAGCCUGAUGCAGCCAUGCCGCGGGUAUGAAGAAGGCUUUCGGGUGGGAAAGUACUUUCAGCGAGGAGGCGUUACUCGCAGAAGAAGCACCGGCUAACUCCGUGCCAGCCGCCGCGGUAAUAC